GUCCAGUUGGAUAUGAUAGGGCAGAAAAUAUGACUGAAGUGUAUCGAGAUGUUCAGAGAAGUGAUACUAGUCUAUCAAAGUCUAAAAAGGCAAAAAAAGUGAUUGAAGUGGCUGAAGAUGCUACGAGAAAUCAAACUAGUCCAUGUGAAUAUGAUAGGACAACCAAGG